rnacentral:tRNA from 8 species
GCCGCGGUGGUGUAGUGGUAUUAACAUUGCAGAGCCCCCGUACUAGCCUUAUGCUAGCGGUGUGGAGUGCAGAUUCUGGGUUCGAGUCCCAGUCGCGGCA